GACGAACCGUGCGAACGUUGUUCGGAAUCACUGGGCUUAAAGGGCGCGUAGGCGGCCGGGUUGGUCGUGGGUGAAAUCCCCCAGCUUAACUGGGGAACUGCCUACGAUACUGCCUGGCUCGAGGGAGGAAGGGGCGGUCGGAACUGUCGGUGGAGCGGUGAAAUGCGUUGAUAUCGACAGGAACGCCGGUGGCGAAAGCGGACCGCUGGCCCUCUUCUGACGCUGAGGCGCGAAAGCCAGGGAGCGAACGGG
rnacentral:rRNA from 1 species